rnacentral:rRNA from 1 species
UACGAAGGUCCCGAGCGUUUGUUCGGAAUCACUGGGCGUAAAGGGAGCGUAGGCGGCGUGGUAAGUCAGAUGUGAAAUCCCGGGGCUCAACCCCCGGAACUGCAUCCGAUACUGCCAUGCUAGAGGAUUGGAGAGGUAGCUGGAAUUCUUGGUGUAGCAGUGAAAUGCGUAGAGAUCAAGAGGAACACUCGUGGCGAAAGCGAGCUACUGGACAAUUCCUGACGCUGAGGCUCGAAGGCUAGGGUAGCGAAAGGG